AUGGAUCAGAGGGGUGGAUGUGUGGGUGGAUGGAUCAGAGGGGUGGAUGUGUGGGUGGAUGGAUCAGAGGGGUGGAUGUGUGGAUGGAUGGAUCAGAGGGGUGGAUGUGUGGGUGGAUGGAUCAGAGGGGUGGAUCAGAGGGUGGAUGGAUCAGAGGGUGGAUGGAUCAGAGGGGUGGAUCAGAGGGUGGAUGGAUCAGAGGGGUGGAUGUGUGGGUGGAUGGAUCAGAGGGUUGGAUGGAUUAGAGGGCUGGAUGUGUGGGUGGAUGGAUCAGAGGGUUGGGUGGAUCAGAGGGUGGAUGGAUUAGAGGGGUGGAUGGAUCAGAGGGGUGGAUGUGUGGGUGGAUGGAUCAGAGGGGUGGAUGGAUCAGAGGGGUGGAUGUGUGGAUGGAUGGAUCAGAGGGGUGGAUGUGUGGGUGGAUGGAUCAGAGGGGUGGAUCAGAGGGGUGGAUGGAUCAGAGGGUGGAUGGAUCAGAGGGUGGAUGGAUCAGAGGGUGGAUGGAUUAGAGGGGUGGAUGGAUGUGUGGAUGGAUCAGAGGGUGGAUGGAUCAGAGGGGUGGAUGUGUGGGUGGAUGGAUCAGAGGGGUGGAUCAGAGGGUGGAUGGAUCAGAGGGUGGAUGGAUCAGAGGGGUGGAUCAGAGGGGUGGAUGUGUGGGUGGAUGGAUCAGAGGGUUGGAUGGCUCAGAGGGUGGAUGGACCAGAGGGUUGGGUGGAUGUGUGGAUGGAUCAGGGGGUGGAUGGAUCAGAGGGGUGGAUGUGUGGGUGGAUGGAUCAGAGGGGUGGAUCAGAGGGUGGAUGGAUCAGAGGGUGGAUGGAUCAGAGGGGUGGAUCAGAGGGGUGGAUGUGUGGGUGGAUGGAUCAGAGGGUUGGAUGGCUCAGAGGGUGGAUGGACCAGAGGGUUGGGUGGAUGUGUGGAUGGAUCAGGGGGUGGAUGGAUCAGAGGGGUGGAUGUGUGGGUGGAUGGAUCAGAGGGGUGGAUCAGGGGGUGGAUGGAUUAGAGGGGUGGAUGGAUGUGUGGAUGGAUCAGAGGGGUGGAUGA
rnacentral:lncRNA from 8 species